CUUGCACCGUGGCACGAAACCCUGGACACACCAACCAUGUGGAGCAGCUUAUUGCCUGUCAUGAUGUAAUAGUGAGAAGGCUGCCCAUGAUCUAUCGGAUUUCCAUCUGGGACCUUUUUUUCAGCCCUAAGAAUUUUCUUUAGUGUUACUUACAAUGUGGGAC